AAAUCGCAUUGGGAUAGGAUGAUAGCGCACCUGGUCAUCGUCUCUCUCAGCUGCUCACUUGCUGUUCUAAGUGAUAAUACCGUUGUUUUUUUAGUGGGUAUUCUUUUACGCUUUCGUAGGAGCGAGUCCCACACUCUUGGAGCAAUCCGGGGUAGUGCCUAAACGCAUUUCUUCAACGUAAAA
rfam:Forficula auricularia retrotransposon R2, complete sequence.